rnacentral:rRNA from 1 species
AACGGGUGAGUAACGCGUGAGGAACCUGCCUCAAAGAGGGGGACGAACAGUUGGAAACGACUGCUAAUACCGCAUAAGCCCCACCGGGGUCGGCAUCGACCAGAGGGAAAAGGAGCAAUCCGCUUUGAGAUGGCCUCGCGUCCGAUUAGCUAGUUGGUGAGGUAAUGGCCCACCAAGGCAACGAUCGGUAGCCGGACUGAGAGGUUGAACGGCCACAUUGGGACUGAGACACGGCCCAGACUCCUACGGGAGGCAGCAUG